rnacentral:lncRNA from 1 species
UUGAGUUCUAUUAGUAUAUGUUUGUGUUAAAAAAAAGACUACCUGAAUCUAUCCAACGAUACUUAAUACUUUAGUAUUACAUGUAUUUUCAUUUUUACAUAUGUCAUCACUCAUCAGCUCUGUCGGCAAACCGAGGUCCACUUUGAUCUUUUCUUUUUCUUUUUGUUUUUUCUUUUUCUUUUCUCAUUUCUCCUUUUUGUUUAGUGAGCUCCACUAUAGUAACUUUACUUCAGCUAAAUUACAUUAUUUGUAACUUUUUUCUUUUUUGUAAUUCAGGGUUUCCCGCUUCGCGGAUCAAUCCCU